rnacentral:snoRNA from 1 species
UCGUCAGUGCGGUAUAUCCUGACCUGCCCCGCCCUGCGGGCAGCACGUGAUGAGCUGGCCGUGAUGACGCGUGAUUACAUCACGGGGGGCUGCGGGAACUGCAACACCCGCAGCUCCCGCGACUCUGAC